GAUUUGAUAGAAUUCCAUCGGAGUUUUAAUUAGAAUUAAAUUAGAACUUGAUCAAGAUUUAAUUAAGAUAUUUUUUGAUUAUUCUAAUAUUUCUAUAAGAUUUUUUAAGGAUUCUUUUUAGGUUCAUUGUGGAUUUCUUUUGAAUUCUUUUCAAAUUUCUUGUUGUUUUAUUUAUAAUUUCUUUAAGGUUUCUUUUGAAUUUGAUUAAAACUAAUUUAGUAUUAUUAAAUAUUUAAUUCAAGUUAUUUAAUAUUUUAUUAGAAUUAAAAUUUUAUUAUUGUAAUUUCCAUUCUAACUUCCAUAAUCACAUGCCGAGUGCAUUCUUGAGCAAGACUUUAUAUAAUACGACAAUGUGAGAUUUUUAUUCUUAGAAUGUUGACAAGUUCAUAAAGAUUUAAAAUAAUUACAAAUAUAUUUUUACUUUUGUUGAAAAUAAUAUCCAUAAUCUUUCCUUCCAUAGACAACUUAAACAACUUUAAAAAAUAAAAUUAAA
rnacentral:lncRNA from 1 species